AGGGCCUCUUUUAAAAUUUAAGAGAAAAGGAGUGCAGAAAAUCCUGAAUUUUCAAUCCUCUUCAACUGUCAUCAUUGAAGAUUAUUGGUUGAUUCUUGUUUUAGUGCUCUUUUACAGUUUUAGUGCUCUUAUCUAUGAGCUGGAUUUCAUAAUGCAUUGAAGAUUAUUGGCUGGUUCUUGUUUUUCUUUUUACAAUUUUAGUGCUCUUUUACACAAUAAAACAAUGUUAGUCUUCUUGUGAGUAAAUCUCCGUAUCCUUAUAAAUUUUUUGUGUUGGUUAUUAUGUCUCACAAUUUGUCAUUCACGUAUAAGGCUUGCAUAUUAUGGAUAUAGUCAUCAAUUUAUGCAGGAUCAUUUAUGGAGAUAUUGGACAAUUCAUAUGUGAAAUGCAAGUUAGCUUUGGGAUCUAUAGUAAACGUGCAUCACUGGGACCUACAGUAAAUGUGCCACUAUAAAGAAAACACCACAAUCCAUCUGAUGCUUCUAAGCAUACAUGAUUUAGAGAAGACCAUAGAAUGGAAGAUUACUGUGGCAUAACUUGAAGAAAGGCAAUUUCUAUCAUCUAAUGGCAACUCCAAAGUCCUUUCACUUAUCAUCUAAGUCUUGUCAUCCAACAAUAUGAUUUAAGCAUUUGAAAUGAUGGUAAUUGCUGUGGUAGGGAACAACCUCAUAUGUUUGUCUUUUCAGCCUUUAGACCUUUACUGCAUGUUUGUCUUCAAUUAGUUGAGUUUCCGACCAGUGGUGCUGUGUAGCUUAUAAUUUUCUACUAUCAUUUUGAAUUAUCUGCCAUAGUGUUCUUGCACCUGCAAGUUAUGACAACAAUGUAGAUUGCAUGUGGUCGUAUUACUGAAGAAGUCUUCCGAGUCAAAGCCUAAACAAUUUGGGAUAUAAGAUUUUCCGCUUUGUUAUGAAAAUGUUGUGCAUUAGUGAUGUAUAAUUUCCAUUAUUGGUUGGUAUUAACGAGAUGGUUGUUCAUUAGUUUGACAGGUUUCCUUUGUUUGUGUAGCUAUGACUUAAAUAGUACCUAACCAUCCCAUUUUAUAGGCUAUUUGUUGGAUGAUUAGAAUAUUUGAUUUGUGUGUUUUUGAAGUGUGGUCUAUUGUAGCGAAAUGACACAAUGUACAGAUGGAGUACCAAAGCCUUGUGAGCAUACAGGUUUUGGUUUAUAACAACUAAAAGAUUUAGCUUAAUCAUCACAGGUCCCAGGGCAGAAUUCAUGGGUUGUGGCCGUGAGCAUGUUGUAAAGUUUAAGUGGUCUAGUAUGGAAGUUCUUGUUCAUCAGACUGAUGCCCAUGCCUCUGAAAGAUUUGGAUUUUAGGUGAAAACUAUGAAAAAGAUUGUGCUGAGGCUUCAAUGCCAGAGCUGCAAACAUGUCUCCCAACACCCAAUUAAGGUUCGUUUCUCAUAUUAUUAUUAUCAUUAUUAUUAUUAUUAUUAUUAUUAUUAUUAUUAUUAUUAUUAUUAUUAUUAUUAUUGUUUUAGGCAAGCAUUCAACAUUCCAUGCUAGGCAUCACUUUAGGUGGUCCCCACAUUGUAAGGAUUUUAUUAGACAUUUGGCUUGCAACUGGAUGAUUAAAAUGGCAUAUAGCCAACAGGAAAACAUUUUGUUCCAUUGACCAUACAUGGUGGGAUUCAUUUUUUCCUCCUGUUUAUUCUGUUAUGAGAAAUAGGGCUGGAUUUUGGAGUGUGAUGACUUUGAUUUGUGGCCUUCACUAAAUUUAAUGUGAUCAGUUAAACACUUUUUGGCUGGUUGAUCGGAUUCAAUUGAAAUAUACUACUUCAGAUAUCAUAUGUUAAGUGAAGCAUGCUUAGUACAUUUUAAAUUAAAUUUUGUAUUUCAAAUAGAUGUUGCUACGGCUGAAGGGCGUUACGUACCACUGACAGUUCGUGCAUACUAUAUCUAUUUUGAUAAGUUGCAUUACUGGGGUGUUGUAAUUUUACAUUUUAGUUGAUUUCUCACAGUUUGCUGUUGGGACCAUCUAUAACAAGAAAGAAA